GACGAACGCUGGCGGCGUGCUUAACACAUGCAAGUCGAACGGAAAGGCCCUGCUUUUGUGGGGUGCUCGAGUGGCGAACGGGUGAGUAACACGUGAGUAACCUGCCCUUGACUUUGGGAUAACUUCAGGAAACUGGGGCUAAUACCGGAUAGGAGCUCCUGCUGCAUGGUGGGGGUUGGAAAGUUUCGGCGGUUGGGGAUGGACUCGCGGCUUAUCAGCUUGUUGGUGGGGUAGUGGCUUACCAAGGCUUUGACGGGUAGCCGGCCUGAGAGGGUGACCGGCCACAUUGGGACUGAGAUACGGCCCAGACUCCUACGGGAGGCAGCAGUGGGGAAUAUUGCACAAUGGGCGGAAGCCUGAUGCAGCAACGCCGCGUGCGGGAUGACGGCCUUCGGGUUGUAAACCGCUUUCGCCUGUGACGAAGCGUGAGUGACGGUAAUAGGUAAAGAAGCACCGGCUAACUACGU
rnacentral:rRNA from 1 species